UCUUUCACCUUGGAGUACAUUAAUCUCAACACUUGUCUGGCCAUCAGCAGCUGUUGAGAACACUUCUGAUUUGGAGGUGGGCAAUGUAGUGUUUCUUGGGAUGAUUUUGGUCAUAACACCACCCAGAGUUUCCAGUCCAAGUGACAAAGGUGUCACAUCCAAAAGCACAAUAUCACUGACAUCUCCAGCUAAAACACCGGCCUACAACCAAUUGGGGAGACAGAAGGGAAAACAUUAAAACUAAAACUUAUAAAGAUAAUAAGACAAGUUGCUGCAAAAUUUUAAUCCCAAAAUAUCUAUAAACCAAUCCUGUCACAUUCAACUGCCAAAAGGAACAAGAACUAUAGAGCUAUCAAAAUGACUUAAACAGUACUAAACCCACCUGAACUGCAGCCCCCAGGGCAACAACUUCAUCUGGAUUGACGGUCACAUUAGGUUCCUUGCUGGUCAUCUUCCUCACAAGUUCCUGAACAGCAGGCAUACGUGUUGAUCCACCAACAAGAAUUACCUCAUCUAUGUCUUUAAAAGAAAGUUUUGCAUCCCUCAAGGAAUUCUCCACUGGUGUCUUCAGCCUACAAAACAUAUUAAACCCAAAAUCUUCAGUGAUUAAGCCAAAAAAUUAAGGAACAAUAUAAGCAGAAUAUUCUUUUUGUUUUGGAAAUGAAAAGAAUAGAAACAGAUUGCAAUAAUAUAAAUCUACCUGUCAAGCAGGUCUGAGCAGAGUUCCUCAAACUUAACCCUGGUAAGAGUUGUCUCAAUGUGUUUGGGGCCUUCUGCAGUGGCAGUAAUGAAAGGUAAACUGGAACCAGAAAAGAAAAAUCUGUAUUACUAAACACCACAUUGGAAAUGCACAAAUAAAAUCAUGGGCACCAAGAAAAGAGUUGGAGAGAGAUGCCUUAUGUUUGUUUGAGUCAAAGAUGAUAACUCCAUUUUAGCUUUCUCGGCUGUCUCAGUUAACCGCUGAAGAGCUUGUUUGUCUUUCAAAAGAUCUAUGCCUUCAUCUCUCUUAAAGUUGUCAGCAAGCCAAUCAACAAUUCGCUGCACAUACAAUAUGACACAUAGUGCUUACUUCAACACCACAAGAUACAACAAAGACAAAGGAGAAUGGUCGUUCAUCUAAGAAUACCUACCUUAUCAAAGUCAUCACCACCCAAAUGUGUGUCUCCAGAUGUAGAGAGCACCUCAAACACUCCAUCACCAACCUCAAGCACUGUAACAUAUUAACAAACAGACAAUAAAAAAUUUGUUGGAUCUUCACCAAAUAAAAGAUAAAUGAAGUCAACCAAUAGUCAUCAGUCUUCAGAACAAAUGACGACCAAACCAAGGAAGCAUUCCCCAAGCACAUCACUGACUAUUUCACCUAGUAACACAUAAGCAUUGUAAGACAUAACUUAAGUAUACAUGCAGAUAGCUAAGUUCUCAAAUGGCCAGCAUACCUGAAACGUCAAAAGUACCACCUCCAAGAUCAAACACAAGGAUGGUUUCAUUGUUCUUCUUCUCAAACCCAUAUGCCAGAGAGGCAGCAGUAGGUUCAUUGAUAAUCCGGAGAACUUCUAGCCCAGCAAUUCGACCAGCAUCCUUUGUUGCUGUCCUUUGGGAAUCAUUGAAGUAAGCAGGGACAGUAACAACAGCUUUGGUCACUUUAUCAUUCAAAAAUUUUGAAGCAUCAUCAACGAGCUUUCUCAAGACCUAUAUCCAAAAUUACAAAUAUCUCGUUAGCAAUAGAAAGAUUCUAAAUUACUAACAGCAAAAGUGCAAAGUUCUUACACUUAGCUUAUAAAUGCCAUUAUGAAGUACCAACGAAUUGAGAGGCCACAGCACGAUGUUAAUUAUGCAUUUAGUCGAUAUGCGCAAUAACAGAUUUUUAUCCAAACCAAAGUUUAUCCACGACGCAUUCAUCGCUAAUAAACUCAAAUUCCGUGAAUUUAGUUCCAUAAACAUUUCCAAUUUCUCAAAUUGCCAAGCCGACAUAACAAAGACAAUCCAAUUGAUGACUGAACAUAACAGCAAAAGUACGAAGGCAACAGUAUACUAUACCUGAGCUGAAAUUUCCUCAGCAGCGAAUUGUUUACCGAUGGCAGGACACUCAAGCUUAACAUUCCCGUUCUCAUCUCUAACUACCCUGUAAGAGACCUGUUUAGAUUCCUCAUCCACUUCCGACAUCUUUCUUCCUAUAAACCUCUUCACAGAGAAAAACGUAUUCUCAGGGUUCACGACGGCUUGCCGUUUCGCAAUCUGACCAACCAACCUAUCCCCAUUCUUGGUAUAAGCCACCACAGACGGCGUCGUUCUCUGCCCUUCCGCGUUAGUAACUAUAGUCGGCUUCCCUCCUUCCAUGGCCGCCACGGCCGAGUUGGUGGUCCCAAGAUCGAUACCGACCACUUUCUCGUUCACUACUCUGACCGGCCCAACAUUGCACCGCUUACCGUUGGCUUUAGCCAGUCGUAAGAAGGCGGCGUUUAACGAAGAUGUUUUUCCCAGUCUUUGACCAAAGAAAACCGUUCUGGGUGAAUGGUGGUUGGGUUUUCUCGAGGAUGCGAAGCCCAUACCACCAAGGACAUGGAUUUGGGCAGUGGAGGAAGCCAUUUUUCUAAGUGUAAGUAAAGAUAAGAAUUAACAAAGGAUACGUAAGCCUUUCGUUCAAUAAACCGAGAGAAAAGGAAACCCUAACUCCCAGAAGGAACGAGAGUGAGAAGAUUGGAAAGGCAAAGGCAAACGCUUCAGCUUUGUCGUUGGCUUAUGACUGGAAAGAAGAUAAGAGAAAGAGGGAGAAGGGUUUAGACCUUUUUUAGGGGAAGGAGGAACAAGGUAGAGCGUCUGCGUGCGCUGUGUGUGAGGGUUAGGUGGUGACACGUGGACAAUUCUAGAAUCAUCGGAUGCGCAGGAUUGACGACCGUUCGAUUUGAUACUUUGUCGCUGCUGCUUAGAUUGAAGGAGAGAUCCAGGUGGUUGGAGAAGUUGGGCUCAAUUCCACCCUUUGUUGUUUCAAAGACGGCCUACUCUUGAUCAAAGCCUUUCAAGCCCAAUGAAACUCUUGAUCAAUUAGAUUAAAUUUAAAGAGAUUAUCGAAUCAAUUAAAUUAAAUUAAUUUGAUUGAUUCGGUUAUAAAUAAAAAAAAUUAAAAUUUAUAAAUUUUACUUAUAAUUAUAAAAUAUACAAAUAAUCUAAAUAUAAAUAAAUUAAUACAAAUUAAUAUAAAUAAAUAAAAUUUAUUAAACAUAUAUAAAUCAUAACAUUUAAUAUUAACAACUUCAACUUUUUUUAAAUUAACAUCCAAAACUACAAGAGUUAAAAAAUAACCUUUAUUUUCCCCCUUAUAUAUAUAUAUAUAUAUAUAUAUAUAUAUAUAUAUAUAUAUAUANNNNNNNNNNNNNNNNNNNNNNNNNCUUAUAUUAUAUAUAUAUAUAUAUAUAAUCAUAUAUAUAUAUAUAUAAACCUUUAUCCUUUCACAUAAGUGUCACAACCCAGUAUGAAACCAUGUUCCACACAAAAGACUUACUAGACAAGACUUUCCAAUUAUAUAUAUAUCAUUUAGUACUGUAACCCAAUUCAAUAUAUUCAUAAAUAUAUAAAUAUUUAUACUUAAAGUCGAAAGUAAUCUUUCCAGAGGUACGUGGCUUUGAUUAAUAGAAACAAGACCACCGUUCGGUAACAAGAGUUCGCAAUUGUAAACGGUAACAAUCAUAUAUUAAGAAACUUUUCUGCCUUGUCUGAGGGAGCCUGGUCAUCAGCUAGACCGCACCUGCUAAAAUUUGCUAGUUUACGUUUAGUAAUGUUCUUCUUUCUGGAAAACAGGACCAAGAAGAAAACCUCAUACCUCAUACACAGUUCAAAAACCCAGCUUUUCACUUACUUUCAGUGAAAUCUACAUCAAUUACAUCACCACCGGUCCCCUUGUUUGAUGAAUCUGAAGGCCCAGUUUCACCACCAGGUUCAGACCCAGCACUGCCUCCAGCAUCAGGUUGGUUGUAGAGCGACUGGCCAAGCUGCAUAACUUCUUGGUUGAGGGCAGCCAUGGCAUCCUUCAUACCUUGAGUUGAGCCCCCUGAUGCAUCCCUGAGCUCUUGCAGUUUUGCCUUUACUUUCUCUUUGACUGGACCGGGAACCUUGUCUCCAAGCUCUUUCAGCUGCUUCUGUGUCCGGUAGAUAACAGAGUCAGCCUGGUUCUUCGCGUCUAUAGCAUCUCUUCUCUCCUUAUCCUCCUUUGCAAAUCUCUCAGCUUUCUUCACCAUUGUAUCAACCUGCAUAUAUUAAAGACAGAAUUAGGUAAUGGUUUAUUAAACAAAGAAGGCAUUUCCAGUGCUUCCAUCCAAUGCAAAUACAUAAGUUCGUGCCACCAAGUAAGUGCAAAUAAUUUUUGGAAUGUCUUACAAGCAAUUCAUCUGAGCAACACUUGGUAUACAUCCCAACAUUAAAUGCAUACCUCAUCACUGGGCAAGGUACUAGCACCAGUAAUAGUGAUGUCUUGCUUCUUCCCGGUGCCCUUAUCAACAGCAGAGACAGAGAGUAUACCAUUGGCAUCAAUGUUAAAUUUGACUUCAAUCUGUGGAAUCCCACGAGGUGCUGGUGGGAUACCAUCAAGACAGAAGCUGCCAAGAGAUUUGUUAUCCCUAACAAACUCUCUUUCACCCUGGAGUACAUUAAUCUCAACACUUGUCUGGCCAUCAGCAGCUGUUGAGAACACUGCUGAUUUGGAGGUUGGCACUGUAGUGUUUCUAGGGAUGAUUCUGGUCAUAACACCACCACGUGUUUCAAGACCAAGUGACAAAGGUGUCACAUCCAAAAGCACAACAUCAGUGACAUCUCCAGCUAAAACACCGGC
rnacentral:lncRNA from 1 species